rnacentral:lncRNA from 1 species
CCUUCAAUGCAAGUUGUUUAAAGAUACUAAGCACUUCCACAAACGUUGUUCACUAUUGAACACAUAAAUUAACUAAAUGGAAUUCAGAUUAUCUGAACCUACAAUUACAUCUUGUUCCAACAGCCGUCUCUAGAAAGUAUACAUGAAGGUAAGAGUUAGCAUAGGUUCUCUCCCGACACAUCUGAAGGCGAUGAUUGGAUGGUUUGAAUUGUAGGAGAGCCUACAGGUGAUGUCUGAGUAGCUGCUGAAGCGGUGGCGGGGACCGAGAAAAUGUGACUUGGAGCAACGAGCAGAGGUGUUGUCUCUGUAGCUGAUGGAUGAACAGGUGCUGAGCUUGCAUCCUGCUUGCAUAUUGGACAAAAACGUCUCCGCGUGAGUAGCCACUGGUCUAUACAGCCGACGUGAAAGUCUGCACAUGAGACGAUAAUUAUUGCAGAUUUCAGUGCCCAAAAACCUCUAUUGAAAGUUGAAUAGAUAACCAUACCACGAAUGCCUGCAUCAGCAACGAGAGGUCCUAUAACUACUAACUAAUAUCUGACGAAAAAUUAUCUCGAUCUUGUGACAGAUAGGCAUGCAAAUCUUUUAUGGAAAGCAUUAAAGAGACAUUUAAAAUGCCCAUUUACUGCUGGAUUAGGCUACAUCACACGAGCAAGAUUUAGUUCGUUAGAGCAACAAACCAUGCUGACAAGGUAAGAGUCGCAGUUUUUCUCCACUCUCAUAGUCCUCCAAGCAGAUAGCACACAUCUCUCCAGUAGCAGCUCCUCCAAC